rnacentral:rRNA from 1 species
AUUGAACGCUGGCGGCAGGCCUAACACAUGCAAGUCGAGCGGAUGAAGGGAGCUUGCUCCUGGAUUCAGCGGCGGACGGGUGAGUAAUGCCUAGGAAUCUGCCUGGUAGUGGGGGAUAACGUCCGGAAACGGGCGCUAAUACCGCAUACGUCCUGAGGGAGAAAGUGGGGGAUCUUCGGACCUCACGCUAUCAGAUGAGCCUAGGUCGGAUUAGCUAGUUGGUGGGGUAAAGGCCUACCAAGGCGACGAUCCGUAACUGGUCUGAGAGGAUGAUCAGUAACACUGGAACUGAGACACGGUCCAGGCUCCUACGGGAGGCAGCAGUGGGGAAUAUUGGACAAUGGGCGAAAGCCUGAUCCAGCCAUGCCGCGUGUGUGAAGAAGGUCUUCGGAUUGUAAAGCACUUUAAGUUGGGAGGAAGGGCAGUAAGUUAAUACCUUGCUGUUUUGACGUUACCAACAGAAUAAGCACCGGCUAACUUCGUG